UACAGAGGGUGCAAGCGUUGCUCGGAUUUACUGGGCGUAAAGCGUACGCAGACGGUGAGAAAGGUCGGAUGUGAAAGCCCCGGGCUCAACCCGGGAACUGCAUCCGAAACCAUCUCGCUAGAGUAUGGGAGAGGGAAGCGGAAUUCCUGGUGUAGAGGUGAAAUUCGUAGAUAUCAGGAGGAACACCUGCGGCGAAGGCGGCUUCCUGGCCCAUUACUGACGUUCAGGUACGAAAGCGUGGGUAGCAGACAGG
rnacentral:rRNA from 1 species